CAGGAUGAACGCUAGCUACAGGCUUAACACAUGCAAGUCGCAGGGUAACAUGAGGAAAGCUUGCUUUCCUUGAUGACGACUGGCGCACGGGUGAGUAACGCGUAUCCAACCUUCCCAUAACUACGGGAUAACCCGUUGAAAGACGGCCUAAUACCGUAUGACAUCGUUUGCUGACAUCAAAUAACGAUUAAAGGUUUAGCGGUUAUGGAUGGGGAUGCGUCUGAUUAGCUUGUUGGCGGGGUAACGGCCCACCAAGGCGACGAUCAGUAGGGGUUCUGAGAGGAAGGUCCCCCACAUUGGAACUGAGACACGGUCCAAACUCCUACGGGAGGCAGCAGUGAGGAAUAUUGGUCAAUGGGCGAGAGCCUGAACCAGCCAAGUAGCGUGCAGGACGACGGCCCUAUGGGUUGUAAACUGCUUUUAUGUGGGGAUAAAGUGCGUGACGUGUCAUGCAUUGCAGGUACCACAUGAAUAAGGACCGGCUAAUUCCGUGCCAGCAGCCGCG
rnacentral:rRNA from 1 species